rnacentral:rRNA from 1 species
UACGUAGGGUGCAAGCGUUGUCCGGAAUUAUUGGGCGUAAAGAGCUCGUAGGCGGUUUGUCGCGUCUGCUGUGAAAACUCGGGGCUUAACCCCGGGCCUGCAGUGGGUACGGGCAGACUAGAGUGCGGUAGGGGAGACUGGAAUUCCUGGUGUAGCGGUGAAAUGCGCAGAUAUCGGGAAGAACACCCGUGGCGAAGGCGGCUCUCUGGGCCUGUACUGACGCUGAGGAACGAAAGCGUGGGGAGCGAACAGG